rnacentral:lncRNA from 1 species
GCACAGAGAUGUUGACCAUGUCGCCUGCUGUUUCACACAGCUGAUAAACGGAGGAGCGGGGAGGUGAACCCAGGGCUCUCGGACUCCUAAGUGCUGUAGUAACGUAAAACGUUGCUCGGUUUCUGCGAAGCGGCGCCAAGCGGCUCCUCACACAAGGCCAUGCUCAGCGCUCAGGGCGCUGGAAACUCACCAGUCAUGACUGACUCCCAGGCAAGUGGGUGGCCAGAUUUCACCUCAGUCUGCUUCUUUAAGGGGCAGAACCAGGAGGGGUGGCUUGAUAAGGGUACGCUCAGCAAAGCAGAGGAAGUGGUGGCGCUCAGACCCCCUGCCGCCCUCUCACCUCAGAGAUCUUCCACCAGAUAGAUACCGCCCCCUCCGAAACGUGUCGCUGUGGUUGGAGCAGUGUCCGUGUGGGGACAGCCGGCCCCGCGCCCCCACGCCGCCCGCGCCCCUGCUCCGCUGCGGGCCGCCUGCCUCCUCCUGCCCCCGCGCUGAUGGGGGGCCCCGCGCGCAGCCCCCUCGGCAACCCCAGAGCGCAGCGCGCCGGCCCUCCGCUGCGCCCUUGCAACCCCGAGUUCCCUCCAGCUCGGAAGCCCUGCCUCCGACCUGCUCCCACUGACCCCUGGAGGACUCCAGCCCAGAGGAGAAAACAGAGGCCUGGAGAGAUUAAAUAACCUGCCCAAGAUUAUUUUUUUAAAAAGAAACGGCAAAGAUUCUGAGAUUCAAAUCGCCGUCUGGUAGAUUUCAAAGUUUCAUCUCAUCCUCCGUUGCCUACAUCACACCAGCUCCUUGAAGGAAGCAGCAGAUUAGCCCUGAACUAACAUCUGCUGCCAAUCCUUCUCUCUUUGCUGAGGAAGACCGGCCCUGACCCCACAUCCAUGUCCAUCCUCCUCCACUUUACAUGUGGGAUGCCUACCACAGCAUGGCUUGCCAAGCGGUAGCAUGUCCACACCUAGGAUCCGGGCCAGCGAAUCCCAGGCCGCUGAAGCGGAACGUGCGAACUUAACUGCUACGCCACUGGGCCGGCCCCUGAUGUGUGCUUUUGAUGGGCUGUUUCUUUUUCUUCCCCUAAAAGCAGUUGUUACAUUGAUGGUGGAUCUUACAAUCGAUGGUGUCUGAGAAUCUGGGGAAUACAGUAAUAACCGUCAAUGGCAAAGUCAGUUACAGGACCCAGGAUGCCAGCCUCCAUGUCCAGUGUCGUGACCCCAAAAUCACCAUGUUCCAGGGGUAGGCUUCUGUCAUGUGUGUGGCCUCUGGGGCCACCUGUCCCUACCCUUGGGCUGUGUUGGUGGGGCCUUGGCCCAGGCUUGGACAUUUUUCAAGUGUGCAAAGAUUCAUUUCAUUCUUUGACUGAAAGCAAAGGGCACCAUCCCCAGGGCCGGGAUCCGACCACCUGAGAGGAAGCACUAAGGCAACGUGAAAGCAAACAUGGAAGUAGGAACUAGGCUGCAGAUGGAGACAGUCCCAGCUGUACCAGGCAGAAAACAUACACACACACACCCCGACACACCAACUUUCUGUCCUGAGUCAUCACCUUUCCUGGUUCCACAUGCUUAGUCGACAUGCCACACUUUCUCUAGAAUCUCGGUUUCCCCCACCUGGUUUCUUGCCCAAGUAGCUUGUGGAGUUGAAGAAGGAGAAAUCAAUAAAAGAUUUGAAGGGCCUGUGAGAGCAGUCCUGGCUGUGGAGACCCCCGGGGUGGCUGGCGCCUCCCAGCCAGUCACUCUGGGCCCCUGAACAUUCCUUGCAGGAGAGCCUGAGCCCCAGACCCUUGUGAGAACUCUCCUGUGGGAGGCUGAGGCUGAGCUGCUGGCAUCUCAAGAGACUGCAGCCACAGCAGAAGCCACAGGAGAGACCCCUCACAGAAGCCAAUCUGUCAGCCACACCCCAACCUCUUUUGUCCUUGUUUUGUUCACAUUCUGUGUCCUGUGCCCCAGAGACCCUAUCACACAGCAGCAGGAGGGGCACACGCAGUCCAGGGCCUGGCCCACGCUGACAGGGCUGUGUCGGCAGCCCUGUCCUUACCCUUCUCCUCUUUGCAGGAGCCAGGAGGCUGGGGUGCAGAGGAGGGGGAGACACAGUCAUCUUGGGCAAAGAAGCCUGGCAGUGCAUUGCAGUGGGAAGGCCAGAGGCCAGCUCCACCCCCUGCCCCCCCUUCCCAGCUCCAGUGGCAUAAAGGUGACAGCCAUCAAGAUGUGCCACUCAGCGUUACUGCUGAGGAGAGCAGGCUUGGCGGGAGGCCCCAACUGCUGCCCCUCAGGAUCCUCCUCCGCAUUCACACUGAAGCCACGUUCCCCAGGCCUACUCCCAGCCAAUGCUGGGCAUGAGCAGUGGGGAGAACAAAUGCAGGCCACGCCUGUGAGACCUAGGACUCCUCCAACAGGCAGCUGGCUCCGGGACUCCCCAUCCAUCUGCCUCAACCUUUCUCAGAGCCAUGCUGCAGUUUAAGGCUCUUCCUGCCUUCCUUGCCCAAAAAGAGAUCUGGCCUCUUGACUCCUGGGAGAUAAUCUUUGUUUACCUGGGGAACUCAGGCUGGCCAGAUAGUAACAAUGUGACUUAGGGUGGAGGCUGGCCACACCAGAAAGACUCAUGAUUUAGGGGUCUUUGAUUUAGGUUGGGGCUUUGGAUCAUGCAGUAUCAGUCAACGUGGAGACUGAGAUCAACUACAUGGGCAAUCAAUCAAUCAUGGCGGCAUGAUGGAGGCCCAGUCAAACCUCUAAAUACCAGGGCUCAGGUGAGCUUCCCUGGUUUGCAGUACUCCAUGCAUAUUGUCUCACACUGAUGCCAGAAAAGCAACGUGUCCUGACUCCCCAGGGAGAGGUCAGUUUAAAAGCUCUGGUUUGUUACUUCCCUGGACUCCAUCCUAUGCACAUCUUCCCUUGGUUUUUAAAAAUCUGUAUCCUUUCCCUGUAAUAAACUGUAACCAUGAGUAGAACAGCUUUCAGUGAGUUCUGUGAGUCCUUCU